UUCACAGCCCACCAUACAAUUUCUAUUCUCCGAUGUGGCCCUCGGGCCAAAAUGUUUGCCCACCCCUGCUUUAAACAAAGAGAGGGCACUAUAAGUCUUAAACUAUUGGCCCACAUCUUCAAACUUUCACAUGUGCAUAAUUUGUAUAUGCAAUUAUUGUGAUUUCAUGUGCAAAUGUGAUAAUGAUGUAUGCAGUGGGUUGUCAUUUGUGGGUGCAAAAUGUGCAUGUCUUCAAUUGUGAGAAUCUGGACCAUCACAGACUGGUAUGUUUAGGACUCCAGCAUUUUCAGACACUACUCUUUAACUUUCCUUACACUAUUUUUACAUGUGCCUUUAAACUAAUCAUAAGGAUCACAUGAUUGCAGUUUCCUGCAAACUUCCUUUCAUAUCACAUCCUCUGGACCCCAUUAAAUCUUAUCUGUGACAAAAGAUGCUUCCCAGCAUUUCCUUCCCACUUGGGGUUUAAUCCAAGACCUUCCCAAGGAAUAACAGUCUUGACUUCAUCCACAGAGACCGCUAAGCAGCAACCAGAGUCACACUGAAGGGAUAGAAACUAUUGAUGCCAAGGGUCACAGGGCUUCACUCAGCCGGAAACAGAAAGUAUAGACCUGACAUUUCUGGAGGAUUUAUUUGGCAGGCUUCUGAGGACUGAUUUGGCUUCUGGCACAAGAUGGAGCAGCCUCAGGGGUUGUUACAGCCAGAGCCCAGCAGCACUCUGACCACACCCUCACCUUCCCCCUGCCAUAUCUUUCCAUGACUUCUACUCUCAGAGUUGAAAGGUGGGGUGGUGGAGAGCUGUCUUAAGAAAUAUGGCAGAAUAUCAAAUGAAGGAAGCAUAAUUAACAGGCACCUGAUGCAUUGCCCAUUGUUGGUGGAACAUGUCCCAUUUGCAAGGGCAAUAAACCUACUGCAGAGCAAUAAAACAUUAUGACCCUGGGCUCCCAGCCUCCCUCUUUGUUAUCGCUGGCUGAAUGGCUGCGCAGAAUUAGAAAGCAGCCACAAAGAACUAAAGAGCACUUUCUGUGUGAUCUCAUGAUGCACUCCACAGCCAAGAAACAGGAACUGAAGGAGUGGCAGGACAGCGAGAUGAGGGACUGAAAGGAGAACACCAGAACAAAGCCAUGGAGCGGCUCUUAAAAUGUUAUGGAGCGCCAAGCGUACAUGCUCCAGGUGAUACUAGCACUGCAAACUGAGCAUCUCUGUGCCCACCCUCCCCUGCAGCUGCUGUCACAAAACUCUUUCCCAUGCACCCUCCCCCACCCAAGACACCACUAACACUCUUAUCAACCUCUUGACUCCAGUCUGUACCUGCUGCAUUCCUCUCCUGCCCUAUCACAAUCCAGCCCUGUGGACUCCCAGUACCCACUGCACUCAACACCCAUCCCUCUGCAGUUUAGCCUUGCUAAAGUACAGUACCUGCUGCAUGGUACUCCAAAGGACAAGAUUGCAUA